rnacentral:rRNA from 1 species
UACAGAGGGUGCAAGCGUUGUUCGGAAUUAUUGGGCGUAAAGAGCUCGUAGGCGGCCUGUCGCGUCGGUUGUGAAAGCCCGGGGCUCAACCCCGGGUCUGCAGUCGAUACGGGCAGGCUAGAGUUCGGUAGGGGAGAUCGGAAUUCCUGGUGUAGCGGUGAAAUGCGCAGAUAUCAGGAGGAACACCGGUGGCGAAGGCAACCACCUGGGCCUGCAUUGACGCUGAGGUACGAAAGCGUGGGGAGCAAACAGG